rnacentral:rRNA from 1 species
GGUUAAGCUAAUAAGAGCACACGGAGGAUGCCUAGGCGCCAGGAGCCGACGAAGGACGUGGCGAACAACGAAACUGCCUCGGGGAGCUGUAAGCAAGCUUUGAUCCGGGGGUGUCCGAAUGGGGAAACCCAGCUGUGGUAAUUCGCAGUUACUCAUUUCUGAAUACAUAGGAAAUGUAGAGGCAGACCAGGGGAACUGAAACAUCUAAGUACCCUGAGGAAGAGAAAACAAUAGUGAUUCCGUCAGUAGCGGCGAGCGAACGCGGAACAGCCUAAACCAAGGGGCUUGCCCCUUGGGGUUGUGGGACGUCUCACAUGGAGUUACAAAGGAAUAUGGUAGGUGAAGAGGUCUGGAAAGGCCCGCGAUAGAGGUAAAAGCCCUGUAGCCUAAACUGUGUUCUCUCCGAGACGGAUCCCGAGUAGUGCGGGGCACGUGAAACCCCGUAUGAAUCCAGCAGGACCAUCUGCUAAGGCUAAAUACUACCUGGCGACCGAUAGUGAAACAGUACCGUGAGGGAAAGGUGAAAAGCACCCCGGAAGGGGAGUGAAAUAGAACCUGAAACCGUGUGCUUACAAAAAGUCAGAGCCCUAUUACUGGGUGAUGGCGUGCCUUUUGUAGAAUGAACCGGCGAGUUACGUUUAACAUGCAAGGUUAAGUCGAGAAGACGGAGCCGCAGCGAAAGCGAGUCUGAAUAGGGCGAAUGAGUAUGUGGACGUAGACCCGAAACCGUGUGAUCUACCCCUGUCCAGGGUGAAGGUGCGGUAACACGCACUGGAGGCCCGAACCCACGCAUGUUGAAAAAUGCGGGGAUGAGGUGGGGGUAGCGGAGAAAUUCCAAUCGAACUCGGAGAUAGCUGGUUCUCCCCGAAAUAGCUUUAGGGCUAGCCUCGGUGAAUGGAGUGGUGGAGGUAGAGCACUGAUUGGGUGCGGGGCCCGCAAGGGUUACCAAGCUCAGUCAAACUCCGAAUGCCAUUAACUUCUUGCCGGGAGUCAGACAGUGAGUGCUAAGAUCCAUUGUCAAAAGGGAAACAGCCCAGACCAUCAGCUAAGGUCCCCAAGUGUGUGUUAAGUGGGAAAGGAUGUGGAGUUGCACAGACAACCAGGAUGUUGGCUUAGAAGCAGCCACCAUUGAAAGAGUGCGUAAUAGCUCACUGGUCGAGUGACUCUGCGCCGAAAAUGUAACGGGGCUAAACACACCACCGAAGCUAUGGCUAGAUGCUUUGCAUCUGGGGUAGGGGAGCGUUGUAUGUGGGUUGAAGGUGUACCGUAAGGAGCGCUGGACAGCAUACAAGUGAGAAUGCCGGUAUGAGUAACGAAAAGAUCAGUGAGAAUCUGAUCCGCCGAAAGCCCAAGGUUUCCUGAGGAAGGCUCGUCCGCUCAGGGUAAGUCGGGACCUAAGGCGAGGCCGAAAGGCGUAGUCGAAGGACAACAGUUUGAAAUUACUGUACCACCGUAAUCCGCUAUGAGCGAUGGGGUGACGCAGGAGGGUAGUGACGCGGACUGAUGGAUGUGUCCGUCUAAGCAGUGAGGCUGAUGUGUAGGCAAAUCCGCACAUCAUUAAGGCUGGGCUGUGAUGGGGAGCGAAAAUUAUAGUAGCGAAGGUCAUGAUCUCACACUGCCAAGAAAAGCCUCUAGCCAGGAGAAGGUGCCCGUACCGCAAACCGACACAGGUAGGCGAGAAGAGAAUUCUAAGGCGCGCGGAAGAACUCUCGUUAAGGAACUCGGCAAAAUGACCUCGUAACUUCGGGAGAAGAGGUGCCUCGGUAGGGUGAAUAGCCCGAGGGGGCCGCAGUGAAAAGGCCCAAGCGACUGUUUAGCAAAAACACAGGUCUGUGCGAAGCCGCAAGGCGAAGUAUACGGGCUGACGCCUGCCCGGUGCUGGAAGGUUAAGGGGAGUGGUUAGGGGCAACCCGAAGCUGUGAACCGAAGCCCCAGUAAACGGCGGCCGUAACUAUAACGGUCCUAAGGUAGCGAAAUUCCUUGUCAGGUAAAUUCUGACCCGCACGAAUGGCGUAACGACUUGGGCGCUGUCUCAACGAGAGAUCCGGUGAAAUUUUAAUACCUGUGAAGAUGCAGGUUACCCGCGACAAGACGGAAAGACCCCAUGGAGCUUUACUGCAGCUUGAUAUUGAAUUUGGGUACGAUCUGUACAGGAUAGGUGGGAGCCGUUGAGGCAGGAGCGCAAGCUUCUGCGGAGGCGCCGUUGGGAUACCACCCUGAUCGUAUCUAGGUUCUAACCUAGUGCCCUAAGCGGGUACGGGGACCGUGUCAGGCGGGCAGUUUGACUGGGGCGGUCGCCUCCUAAAGAGUAACGGAGGCGUUCAAAGGUUCCCUCAGAAUGGUUGGAAAUCAUUCGCAGAGUGCAAAGGCAUAAGGGAGCUUGACUGCGAGACCUACAAGUCGAGCAGGGACGAAAGUCGGACUUAGUGAUCCGGUGGUACCGCAUGGAAGGGCCAUCGCUCAACGGAUAAAAGCUACCCUGGGGAUAACAGGCUUAUCUCCCCCAAGAGUCCACAUCGACGGGGAGGUUUGGCACCUCGAUGUCGGCUCAUCGCAUCCUGGGGCUGAAGUAGGUCCCAAGGGUUGGGCUGUUCGCCCAUUAAAGCGGUACGCGAGCUGGGUUCAGAACGUCGUGAGACAGUUCGGUCCCUAUCUGUCGUGGGCGCAGGAAAUUUGAGAGGAGCUGUCCUUAGUACGAGAGGACCGGGAUGGACGUACCGCUGGUGCAUCAGUUGUUCCGCCAGGAGCAUGGCUGAGUAGCUACGUACGGACGGGAUAAGCGCUGAAAGCAUCUAAGCGUGAAGCCCCCCUCAAGAUGAGAUUUCCCAACUAGUAAGACCCCUUGAAGACGACGAGGUAGAUAGGUUGGAGGUGGAAGUGCAGCAAUGCAUGGAGCUGACCAAUACUAAUCGGUCGAGGGCUUAUCCAA